AAAGCUAUACACAGAUAAUUUACACCUCUGAUAAAUAGACUAAUACUGACCAGGUCCCUCGGUCUGGGCGUGGCCCCACACCACCCA